UACGUAGGAGGCAAGCGUUGUCCGGAAUUACUGGGCGUAAAGCGCGUGUAGGUGGUGGGACAAGUCUGCUGUGAAAGCGCCUGGCUUAACCGGGCGAGGUCGGCGGAAACCGUACGGCUAGAGUCCGGAAGAGGAGAGUGGAAUUCCCGGUGUAGCGGUGAAAUGCGCAGAUAUCGGGAAGAACACCCGUGGCGAAGGCGGCUCUCUGGGACGGUACUGACGCUGAGACGCGAAAGCGUGGGGAGCGAACAGG
rnacentral:rRNA from 1 species